AAGUUGGCGACACAGGAGAAACUCCUCGGCGCGGUUUCUCCCAUUCAUAGCCGCAUCAAACCGCUACGCCUCACCCCUCCCCCUCCCUCCGCCGCGUGGCCUGCGUCUUUUUUCUCUGUCUGUUGUUUUUGGUUUUGGCCUACUCCCUCGCUUGUACACGACAGCUCCGUGUGUCUGUGGGACCUCGCUGUUGGCAUGGCAUCCAUCUUCACCUAUAGCGCUGUGCAAAAUGGCAAGACUGUUUUUUUGCAAAAGUACUCUGGCUAUGCGACGCUUAUCGUGAACGUGGCGUCGCGAUGCAGCCUUGCAUCCACCAACAUCGAGAUGCUGAACGAGGUGCAACAGGCGUAUGGCUCCCGCAGGUUCACCGUUCUCGCGUUUCCGUGCGCGCAGUUUGCGAAUCAAGAGCCGCUCAACAAUACCGAAAUUGCGCAGUGGUGCAAGGACCUUGGGCUGCUCUUUCCUGUCUUUGACCGGGUCAACGUGAAGGGUUCCUCAGCCGACCCGCUGUUUCAGAUGCUACGGGUGCAGAAGGGAGCUCCCCUGUGGAACUACACCAAGUACCUGUGUGACCGCAGCGGUGUGCCGCGCCGUAAGCUGAAGCCUGGCUGCUCCAUGGACACGCUGCGGCAGUCCAUCGAGUGUGUUUUGUAGUGAGUUGGAAAGCAAUCAAGAUGGCAGCACGAGUCUCUUGGUGAAGGAGGAGGAGGCGAGAACUGCGUGCCUCCUUGACAAAACUCUCAGAAACGUGCGCGGGCACUCAUGCACAAAAAAAUAAAAACAAAAGACACAGAUGAUCGAAAAGACGCG
rnacentral:misc_RNA from 1 species